UACGUAGGGUGCAAGCGUUGUCCGGAAUUAUUGGGCGUAAAGAGCUCGUAGGCGGUCUGUCGCGUCUGCUGUGAAAACUCGGGGCUCAACCCCGGGACUGCAGUGGGUACGGGCAGACUAGAGUGCGGUAGGGGAGACUGGAAUUCCUGGUGUAGCGGUGAAAUGCGCAGAUAUCAGGAGGAACACCGGUGGCGAAGGCGGGUCUCUGGGCCGUAACUGACGCUGAGGAGCGAAAGCAUGGGGAGCGAACAGG
rnacentral:rRNA from 1 species